rnacentral:rRNA from 1 species
UGGGGAAUAUUGCACAAUGGGCGCAAGCCUGAUGCAGCCAUGUCGCGUGUAUGAAGAAGGCCUUCGGGUUGUAAAGUACUUUCAGUCGGGAGGAAGGUGGUAAGGUUAAUAACCUUAUCAAUUGACGUUACCGACAGAAGAAGCACCGGCUAACUCCGUGCCAGCAGCCGCGGUAAUACGGAGGGUGCAAGCGUUAAUCGGAAUUACUGGGCGUAAAGCGCACGCAGGCGGUUUGUUAAGUCAGAUGUGAAAUCCCCGGGCUCAACCUGGGAACUGCAUCUGAUACUGGCAAGCUUGAGUCUCGUAGAGGGGGGUAGAAUUCCAGGUGUAGCGGUGAAAUGCGUAGAGAGCUGGAGGAAUACCGGUGGCGAAGGCGGCCCCCUGGACAAAGACUGACGCUCAGGUGCGAAAGCGUGGGGAGCAAACAGG